rnacentral:rRNA from 1 species
UACGUAGGGGGCGAGCGUUAUCCGGAAUUAUUGGGCGUAAAGAGUGCGUAGGUGGUCUUGUAAGCGUGGGGUGAAAGGCAGUGGCUUAACCAUUGUUAGCCUUGCGAACUGUGAGACUUGAGUGCAGGAGAGGAAAGUGGAAUUCCUAGUGUAGCGGUGAAAUGCGUAGAUAUUAGGAGGAACACCAGUGGCGAAGGCGACUUUCUGGACUGUAACUGACACUGAGGCACGAAAGCGUGGGGAGCAAACAGGAUUAGAUACCCUGGUA